rnacentral:lncRNA from 1 species
GUUGGCCCAUUAUUUAUUUCUUAUUGUAUUUUCUUAUUUAUUUUUAUGAGGCGCACUAGUUAACACCCAAGAGCCCUUGGCUCAGUGGAAAGGGGGUUGACCCAUGACCCCAAGGUCAGGGGUUCAACCCCCUGCGCGCCCAUUUUUUUUUUAUUUUUCUAACUUUUCCUUUUUAUUUUUAUAUUUCUUCUUUUUUAUUUGUUUUCUUUUCCAUUUUUAUU